AAAAUAUUUUAAAAGUGUAUUUAAAGCAUUAUCCUAAUUCAAUAAGACAGCCAACAUAGUUAUUUUUUUUCGCAUUAUGCAGUUUAUGCAAAGUGUUUGGCUUAAUAAUUAUCGUCUGCUUCAUCAAUUUCAUGCUCACCUUCCUUUAAUUUGGGAGCUUUCUAUAGUUCUUGUUCUGCAGUGUCAGACUGCAAUGUUUCCUCGCAAAGGGGCUCUUCCAAAACAGCUGGUUUUAAUUGAUUUGCAUGCACCUGUUGCUUCUGUGCUUUUAUAUGUUGAAUUUCAAAAUUUACUGGACCAAACUGUUUUAUAAUUCUAAAAGUACAAUCAAAUUGUUCCAGGGAAUUUUUGUUUUAUAAUUCUAAAGGAUUCUAUCCACCUGGGACUCUUUAGAAUUAUAAAACAAAAGUUUUUUGAAACAACCUGGUUGCACUUUCUCAUCUAAGAGAUAUACUCGAUCCCCUGUAUUAAAAAUAUAUCCCUUAUGUUAUUUAUCAUGAUAUUCUUUAUGUUUAUGCGUUUCUUCUCGCAAAUAAGCUUUGACAGUCUCAUACACAUCCUGUAAUCUGGCUAAAAGUUCUGAUUUAUAAUUAGUGUCAUAUCGUGGCCUAAGAGGUCGUGUCUGUAUCAAAUAUAUAAUGUGGAUCUCUACCGAAAACGAGGAAAAAGGGAGUUUCAUUAAUAGAAGAAUGGACAACCGCGUUGUAAGCGUAUAAUGCAA
rnacentral:lncRNA from 1 species